GACGAACGCUGGCGGCGUGCUUAACACAUGCAAGUCGAGCGGUAAGGCCCUUUCGGGGGUACACGAGCGGCGAACGGGUGAGUAACACGUGGGUGACCUGCCCUCAGCUCUGGGAUAAGCCUGGGAAACCGGGUCUAGUACUGGAUAUGACUCCAUGACGCAUGUUGGUGGGGUGGAAAGCCUUGUGCGGCUGAGGAGUGGGCCCGCGGCCUAUCAGCUUGUUGGGUGGGGUGAGGCCUACCAAGGCGACGACGGGUAGCCGGCCUGAGAGGG
rnacentral:rRNA from 1 species